rnacentral:rRNA from 1 species
GAUGAACGCUGGCGGCGUGCCUAAUACAUGCAAGUCGAGCGAACAGACGAGGAGCUUGCUCCUCUGACGUUAGCGGCGGACGGGUGAGUAACACGUGGAUAACCUACCUAUAAGACUGGGAUAACUUCGGGAAACCGGAGCUAAUACCGGAUAAUAUAUUGAACCGCAUGGUUCAAUAGUGAAAGACGGUUUUGCUGUCACUUAUAGAUGGAUCCGCGCCGCAUUAGCUAGUUGGUAAGGUAACGGCUUACCAAGGCAACGAUGCGUAGCCGACCUGAGAGGGUGAUCGGCCACACCGGAACUGAGACACGGUCCAGACUCCUACGGGAGGCAGCAGUAGGGAAUCUUCCGCAAUGGGCGAAAGCUUGACGGAGCAACGCCGCGUGAGUGAUGAAGGUCUUCGGAUGGUAAAACUCUGUUAUUAGGGAAGAACAAAUGUGUAAGUAACUAUGCACGUCUUGACGGUACCUAAUCAGAAAGCCACGGCUAACUACGUG